rnacentral:rRNA from 1 species
CGUGGGCAACCUGCCCGUAAGACCGGGAUAACUUCGGGAAACCGGAGCUAAUACCGGAUAACACCGAAGAUCGCAUGAUCUUUGGUUGAAAGGCGGCUUUGGCUGUCACUUACGGAUGGGCCCGCGGCGCAUUAGCUAGUUGGUGAGGUAACGGCUCACCAAGGCGACGAUGCGUAGCCGACCUGAGAGGGUGAUCGGCCACACUGGGACUGAGACACGGCCCAGACUCCUACGGGAGGCAGCAGUAGGGAAUCUUCCGCAAUGGACGAAAGUCUGACGGAGCAACGCCGCGUGAGCGAAGAAGGUCUUCGGAUUGUAAAGCUCUGUUGUUAGGGAAGAACAAGUACCGCUCGAAGAGGGCGGUACCGUGACGGUACCUAACGAGAAAGCCACGGCUAACUACGUGCCAGCAGCCGCGGUAAUACGUAGGUGGCAAGCGUUGUCCGGAAUUAUUGGGCGUAAAGCGCGCGCAGGCGGUUCCUUAAGUCUGAUGUGAAAGCCCACGGCUCAGCCGUGGA